rnacentral:rRNA from 1 species
UGGGGAAUCUUCCGCAAUGGGCGAAAGCCUGACGGAGCAACGCCGCGUGAUCGAAUGAAGGCCUUCGGUUGUAAAGAUCUGUUGACAGGGACGAAUAAGCAAUGCGAAUAGUUUUGUGUAUGACGGUACCUGUUUAGAAAGCUCCGGCUAACUACGUGCC